AACGAACGCUGGCGGCAGGCCUAACACAUGCAAGUCGAACGCCCCGCAAGGGGAGUGACAGACGGGUGAGUAACACGUGGGAACAUGCCCUUUGGUUCGGAAUAACUCAGGGAAACUUGAGCUAAUACCGGAUAAGUCCGCGAGGAGAAAGAUUUAUCGCCGAAGGAUUGGCCCGCGUCUGAUUAGCUUGUUGGGGAGGUAAUGGCUCACCAAGGCGACGAUCAGUAGCUGGUCUGAGAGGAUGAUCAGCCACAUUGGGACUGAGACACGGCCCAAACUCCUACGGGAGGCAGCAGUGGGGAAUAUUGGACAAUGGGCGCAAGCCUGAUCCAGCCAUGCCGCGUGAGUGAUGACGGCCUUAGGGUUGUAAAGCUCUUUUGCCCGGGAAGAUAAUGACGGUACCGGGAGAAUAAGCCCCGGCUAACUUCGUGCCAGCCGCCGCCGUAA
rnacentral:rRNA from 1 species